rnacentral:tRNA from 2 species
AGGUAAUUAUUUUAAAUUAAAAUACUUGAUUUCGGCUCAAGAGCUUGCAGUUCAAAUCCGCAAUUACCCA